rnacentral:lncRNA from 1 species
CGCUAUUAAAAAUGAGGAAUGAAUUCAAUGUUGGUGUAAUCUAUUUUCUUUCUCUCCUCUUUCUAGAAGAGCACCAAUAUGGAUCAAGGAAGGACUGAAAGGCAGUAAAGGGCACACUAGGACUCUGCACGAAGACAGAGAGAAGAUCCAGCCUCUUGCCAUUUGUGAUUCUCUUUCUUCCUGCCUAUGUGGAUAGCUGCAGUGACACAGUUUACAGGACCUCAUUCGCACUCCAAUGACAAUGAAAGGAAGACGCAAAGAACUCCGUUCCCGGCAACCUUGGCAAAGUCAUUUCCCAGUUCCUGCACCCACUUUCCUUAUCGUGGCAAAAUGAAGGGCUGGAUUAGAAGAGAGAAUCUUUAUGAAUCUUUCCAAUUUUUAACUCCAUUCAAUUCAACAUUUGCCAAGUGGAUACUAUGUUGCAGUCACUGUGCUACAGAGCUCCCAGCUGUAUAAUUUUUGUUUUAUUCCAUCGAAAACUAGAGUCAGGUAGACUAUGCUCCCAUCAGUGCUGGAAUUGGCACAUAUAACUUGCUUUAGCUGAUGAAAUGUUACCAAACGCAACAUGAUCAAAGGCUUGGGAGAUGAUUUCCCUCCUGUGCUUCUGCAAUUGCCAUGGAAAGAACAUGGUCUGGUGGUCCCUGAUCCCUAAAGAAUGAAAGACACAUGGAAAAGGCUUGGCAUAAAUGUGCAGUUUGGAGUCAAGCCCAACCUAGAUCAGACAACAUUUAGCCAACCUUCAGAUUCGUGAAC